UUGUAAUCAAUCGUCUGGGAAACCUGAAGUCUCUGGACUAUAAGGGGCUUCAUCACCUCACCUCUCUUCAGGUAUUGGGUAUCGAGGGUUGCCAUAAGCUUGAGUCCAUAUCAGAGCAAGCGCUUCCCUCCUCCCUUGAAAACCUUGAUCUCAGAAAUCUAGAAUCUCUGGACUACAUGGGGCUUCAUCACCUCACAUCUCUUCAGAGAUUGUAUAUCGCGGGCUGCCCUAAGCUUGAGUCCAUAUCAGAGCUGGCGCUUCCCUCUUCCCUUAAAUACCUUUAUCUCAGAAAUCUAGAAUCUCUGGACUACAAGGGGCUUCAUCACCUCACCUCUCUUUACACAUUGAAGAUCAAGAGUUGCCCUAAAGUUGAGUUCAUAUCAGAACAGGUGCUGCCCUCCUCCCGUGAAUACCAGGGGCUUCAUCACCUUACUUCUCUUACAAAUUUGAGUAUCAAGAGUUACCCUAAACUUGAGUCCAUAUCAGAACGGGCGCUGCCCUCCUCCCUUGAAUACCUUCAUCUCUGUAAACUGGAAUCUCUGGACUACAUUGGGCUUCAGCACCUCACCUCUCUUCACAAAUUGAAGAUCGGGAGUUGUCCUAAACUUGAAUCGUUGCAGUGGCUGCCUUCCUCCCUUGAAUUCCUUCAGUUAUGGGAUCAGCAAGACCGGGACUACAAGGAGCUUCGGCACCUCACCUCUCUUCGCAAAAUGCAGAUAAGGAGGAGCCUUAAGCUUGAGUCCUUUCAAGAAGGCACACUUCCCUCCUCCCUUGAAGACCUUGAAAUCUGGGAUUUGGAAGAUCUGGAAUUUAAGGGGUUUCGGCACCUCACCUCUCUUCGUGAAUUACAUAUCUGUAGUUCUCCUAAGCUCGAGUCCGUGCCAGGAGAGAAGCUGCCCUCCUCCCUUGUAUCUCUUCAAAUAUCAGGUCUGAUAAAUCUGAAAUCUGUAAUGGGGCUUCAGCACCUCACCUCUCUUCGCAAAUUGAUUAUCUCGGAUUGUCCUCAGCUCGAGUCCGUGCCAAGAGAAUGGCUGCCCCUUUUCCGAUAUGAUGAUAUUAGACGUUGUCCUAAACUUAAUUUGGUUAUAGGAGACGGUCUCACUAUACCAUUUUCCUAGUUUUGUACCCGCGCUCCGCGGCCGAGCGGUUAUUUCUUUUAAGUAAACAAAAAUUAAUAAAUAGGUUUUACAACGCAUUCUUUAAUAUACAAUAUUUUUCUAUCAUAAAUAGAAAUGUCUAUAUAUAUAUUUAGUAAUUAGAUCAAUAGUUGAUAAAGAGAUAAUUAAGAAUAAAAUAUUUAAUCUUACAAUAUAAAUAAUUAAUAUAUUUAGUUAUGUUUAACAAUUAUAUUUUCUAAAGUUUUUUUUAUAUAUAAAACAAUUAUAUGUGCCAAUAAAAGGUUAAAAAAAAAUCAUAUCCAAUGUAAAAUGAAGAAAAUUAAAAAAAAAAUAUGUCAAACUGUAUAAAUAUGGUAACAUUGUGACAAUAGACACAUGAUUGAGAUAAUUUUAUAUAAAGAAAAAUGAAAUAAAAAGCACAAAUACCAAUUCUAAAAAAGUUAAAUGUUGAAGGAUGAAAUUGAAAAAACACAAGGAUAUUUGAUUUCGCAACAUGGUUCAUGCACUAAGCCGUGUUUAAUAGCUUUGUUUUUUAGAAUAUAUUUUUUAUUUAAUCAAACAAUUAUCUAUGCAAAUAAAAGAUAAAAAAAAAUCACAAAUAAAAGCAAAUUGAAUCAAAUCAUGAAGUCAAUUAUAAAAUAACUCAAUGUUGAAUGAUGAAAUUAAAAAAAUAAUAAUUAAGAAAAACAAAAAAAAUAUGGGUCAACCCUUAUUAAUCCGUUAACAUUGCGACCAUUGGUACAUAAUUGUGAUAAUCCCAUAAAAAAUAUGAAGACCAACUUUUAGAAAAAUUAAAUGUUGAAGGAUGAAAUUAAUAUAUAUAUAUAUAUAUAUAUAUAUAUAUAUAUUAAAAAAUGACUAAAAAAACUACUAGAGUCAACCCAUGUUAACAUUUGAAAUUUGUAAUUGUGAUCUUGAGACCAAGACUACUCACGCAUCAGUCAAACCCAAAAAAACAACAAAGUAAAUUUCUCAAUAAAAAAAUGUUGAGGCAUGAAAAUUUCAAUAAAAAAACAACAUGAAAAAAAUAUGAAUAAACCAGGGUUAACUCGCUAACCUCACGACCAUGGAAACAUGAUCAGGAUAACCCUAAUGAAAAGAAAGUGAUAAAGAAAAGCACAAAGAAUAACACUAAAAAAAAUAAAAGUUGAGGGGUGAAAUUAAAAAAACAAAAAAAACCAAAGUCAACCGUUGUUAACUUUCAAAACUCAUGAUUAUGCUGUUGGGACUGACCAUAUAAAAGGCAAACCCAAAACAAAACAAUAUAGCAAAAUUCUCAGUGAAAAAAAGUUGAGGCUUGAAACUCAGUAAAAAAAAGCAACAAAAAAUAUAUGAGUCAACCCAAGUCACCCAUUUGACUAUGGGCAUGUGAUUUAGAUAAUCUUAUGGAAAGGAAAGCAAAAAAAAAAAAACAAUAAAACCAAUUUUAUAAAAAUUAAAUAUUGAAGAAUAAAAUUAAAAAAAUUAAUUUUAUAAAAAAGACUUGAAGAAACCAAAAUCAACCCGUGCAAACCUUUAAAAGUCAUGAUUCAAUAAUAAUAAAAAAAAAGAAGCUAAGUGAUGAAAUCAUUAAAAAAACAAUAAAAAAAAAUUAUUCAAAACAUAAUAAACAUAAGUAAAAAAAGAAUAGAGAUCAAAUUCAACACUAAAAAAAUAAAAAUCAAAUAAUGAGAAAUAAAAUCAAAACAAUAUCUAAUUAGAUUAAGGAUUAAAAAGUGUCAAAAAAAAGUGUCAAAUUUGAUCUAAAAAUAAAAUAAAGUAAAAUAAUUAGAGAUAAAUAGUAAUAAAUACUAUUUUUAUAAAAUAAAAAGAAAAAAAUAAAAAAAAAAAUAAAAAUCAAAACACAAUAUAUAACAAAAAAAAAGUAAUAUAAAUGUUUAUGUCACAUAACAACCAUUGGUUCCAAACAAAACCUGAAAAUAAAAAAACAAGACACCUGCCGUCAUUAGGUCCGGAUUUGCCUGAAAGGCAGAACUGCACAUGCAUUUUCCAUAGCAUGCCAAAGCCAAAUCAAUCUUACCCAUAGCGAGAAUUAAAACAAAACAAAAUAGUAACAACACCAAAAACAUCCUUUAUUCAUUGUUAAAGGUCUUCUGAAAUAAGAUUGGUUUCAAUGGCAAGUGGAAAUCAUAAAGAGAGCAACGAAAGGACAAAAAUCGAUCAAAAAACCCUUACUGAAAGAAUAAACAACACACCUUCGCCUCGUGUGUUCUCCAUCAAUUUGUUCAAGAGAAAAAGGACAAGAACUGUAGUAUCACCACCUCCAUCCUCUCUCAGUAGCUUCUUCUUCUCCAAUGUGCAUACCUUUUUGGUUCUCACAUGCCUCCUCUCCCUCUUCUGAAUCAUGACUACAAUUGAAGAAAACAACUCUAAUCCCACCUAAGAACAAUGCUCUAAUAUCAAAUUUGAUACGAGACAAAAAAGAUUGAAGUUGAAGAAGAAAGAAAAGAAGAAGAAGCCCGAAAAAGAAGAAAAAGCUGAUCAAAUACUAAAACCAUAACUAGAAUAAAUAAUUAAGUUUAUAAUCCACUAAAUAAAAUACUAAAAAAUAAUUAAAUCAAAUCCAACAAAUAAUAUCUAAUUAAUAAAUUUCAACUAAAAGUUCAAAUAAAUAAAAUUAAAACAUAAGCUAAAGCUUAAUCGCUUAAUGAUUUGGACUACCCUCUAUCAUUUAUGAUUAUAUGAAUACAUGUUUCGAGUCAGUAUCCCCACAUUUUUUUUGUUUUUGGUGGAAACAAAAAGAGGUGCAUAUGUUUUUGUUAGGAAAAAAAUUUCUUGCCCUAAAAUAAGAAAAAAAAGUUGCACCUAGAGGUGAUCAUUUUCGGUUCGGUUCAGUUUUUAUCAAAAAAGUAACCAAAUGUACUACAUACUUUUUACCGAUCGAACCAAAUGUACUAUAUUAUCAGUAGUUGUAGCUACUUCUGAAACAGUUGGUGCGAUGGGUGCGAGUGAAGGUGCUGGCAUAGGAGCGGCAACACUAGUCAUACCUUCCACUACUGCUUUGAGUAGCUGGGCUAGGAGCAUCAAAUCAACAUAAGAAACAAAUGGCCUUCCAAGUGUAGUCUGUGGGGGCUCCUCUGCUCGUUCCGGUAGGGUUGACACGGUCGGCUGAACAUCCCCAGCUUGCCUCGGUACUUGUCUGACUUGAGGCCCCGUCGAUUCUUCAUGCCUUGCUUGCUUCGAUACUGCUGGUGCAUGUCAAGCAGUAUCUUCUAAAAGGCUCUCUUCUCGUCCCUCGUAAAAGUCUAUAUCUCUGUUCCCCUUCCCUAUAGAGGAUAGAUUUGUUCUAAUCUCUUGGCGAGUACGUACCAUCCUGCAAUAAAUUAAUAACAUCAUUACCCUUUGUUUCGAGUUUUUCCCAAAAUCCAUACGAGGGCUCUAAUACCAACUAUAACAAUCCCACCUUUUCAAUUUCGUCAACACUAAAAGAUCCCAAUAUAUACUCUUAAUUUGAGGGUAAAUUGUUUUUUUUCUUAUAUAUAUAUAUAUAUAUAUAUGAAAGUCUACCGAUAUUUUCACUGAAAUUUUGGCAAAGUUCCCUUUGUAUUUAGAACGUCCCAAGUUAUCGACUUCUUUCAAUUUACCCAUUCAAGCCAUCAAAACAAGGUCCCAUAAUUUUGAACUUUAUUUUACAUCAUUAAUACUCAACUCCUCAUACAAUUCAUGCACACAAUUUAUACACACACACACACACACACACACACCCUACGAAUAAGAUCAAUAUAAAUAUAGCCCAUAUAUCGUAUAAUAAAGUCUAGAAGAAAAAGGGAUACUAACAUGUAAUGAGAGAAUUUAAAACAUAACAUCAGUAUUCUUAAAAGUUUCAAAGGGUUAAAAACAAAGUAGCUAAGGAGUUCUUACUCAUACAUUAUAUCAAAGUUUACAUAAUUAACAUACUAUAUGCCGAGCCAAUAGUUUUGUAUACAUCAAGGUUUACACAAAAGCAUAUUGCGUAACCUAGCUAAUACUAUUAUGCUUGAGCUAAAUGUUUUUACAUAAGUUUAGCAAAGCAGAGUCCUAAAAACUAAUGAGCUCCCUGAGUAUUAGAUGGACCUGUUACAAUAACAACUUAAUAAGCAUACAAUUAUAUUGUCAACAGAAACAAAAAUGAUCAUAUAAUGAAUACAAAUAAAGCAUAAGUUUUCUAUUAGUUUCCCAAUAAUUUUAAUAAUCAACUUAUAAAUUCUUUCAUAUAUAUUUAAAAACUCAAUUAGACAUCAUUUACGUAUUCUUAAUUGAAUACUCUUAUUUUCUUGUAUGAACCUAGUACCUUUGCCUAAUUGGUUUUACUAAAUCUUUAACUUUGCAUAGUUCCACUUGGAUAGUUUAGGUAAUUAUACUUAUCAAUUCUCUCAGGUCAUCCAAACAUGGAUACCUUUUCCGAAUCGAGCCUUAUCGAUCAUUCCCAGGCAUCCUGACAUGGACGUCAUUAGCUGAAGCGAAUCUUGUAAUUCACUUCCCAGCAAUCCUAUCACGGAUGCCAUUAGCCUAAGAUAAUCUUGAGAUUCAUUUCCCGACAAUCCUAUUACGAAUGCAAUUAGCCGAAGCUAAUCUUGUAAUUCAUUUCCCGGUAAUCCUAUCAUGGAUGCUAUUAGCCGAAGCUAAUCUUGUUAAUACACCGGACUUUGUUUACAUUAAACAUAACUUAAUUGUCAUUGUCUUCAUCGGGAAGACUUUAAAUUACAUAAGAGUAAAGGAGAGGUAAAACCACGCACCUUCUCCGCCUGUCUCGUGACCUCCUUCAACAAAAGAUCCAAUCCUAGUCGCUCCGCCUAAAUCACAAAGAAGUCUUUGGUCAUGUUUCCUUUAAGCUAAAUGUUUAAGGAAAUCCAUAUUCAUUCAUUAUACAUAUGGUACUUUCCAUGCAUGUUCAUUUCCUCAUCAUAACAUACAUAUACAUAUCAAGUAUAUAUUUUCAAGGUUUUAUAUCAACGUGCAAGUGCCCCUACGACUAAGUUUGUUUUUGCAUCAACGUAAAUUAGUGACUUAUGACUCAUAACUGGAGUCUCAUAACUUUAAAUAAAGCAAACUUUGGUCAAUAAAAAGGUAACACAUUUAUCCAUAAUUUCAUUAAGGAUCAUGCAUGAAACUCUGUCAAUAUCAAAUCACAAACCAAAAAAGAAGUUAGACAGCAAAUUUGUCCAGCAGCUUCUAGCCUAACCUCCUCUCAGUAUUUUGCCUAUAUAUGGAGUUCUAUAACUCCUAAUAAAGUGAACUUUAUACCAAUUAAAAGGUAACACAUUUAUAUAUAACUACAUGGAGGAAAAUGCAUCAUACUCUAUCAAUAUAAAAUCCCAAACCGAACAAGAAGUUAGACAGCAAAUCUGUCCAGCAGCUUCCAGCCUAGCCUCCUCUAAGUAUUUUGCUUAUAUAUGGAGUUCUAUAACUCUAAAUAAAGUGAAAUUUAUGUCAAUUGAAAGGUAACACAUUUAUAAAUAUCCACAUGAAGGAAAAUGCAUGAUACUCUGUCAAUAUCAAAUCCCAAACUAAACAAGAAGUUAGACAGCAAAUCUAUCCAGCAGCUUCCAACCUAACCUUCUCUUAGUAUUUUGCUUGUAUAUGGAGUUUUAUAACUCUAAAUAAAGUGAAAUUUAUGUCAAUUGAAAGGUAAUACAUUUAUAGAUAUCCACAUAAAGGAAAAUGCAUGAUACUCUGUCAAUAUCAAAUCCCAAACUGAACAAGAAGUUAGACAACAAAUCUAUCCAGCAGCUUUCAGCCUAACCUCCACUUAGUAUUUUUCCUGUAUAUAGAGUUCUAUAACUCCAAAUAAAGUGAAAUUUAUGUCAAUUGAAAGGUAACACAUUUAUAGAUAUCCAUAUGAAGGAAAAUGCAUGAUACUCUAUCAAUAUCAAAUCCCAAACUGAACAAGAAGUUAGAUAGAAAAUCUAUCCAGCAGCUUCCAGCCUAACCUCCUUUUAGUAUUUUGCCUGUAUAUGGAGUUCUAUAACUCCAAAUAAAUGAAAUUUAUGUCAAUUGAAAGGUAAGACAUUUAUAGGUAUCCACAUGAAGGAAAAUACAUGAUACCAUGUCAAUAUCAAAUCCCAAACUGAACAAGAAGUUAGACAACAAAUCUAUCCAGUAGCUUCCAGCCUAACCUUGUCUUAGUAUUUUGCCUGUAUAUGGAGUUCUAUAACUCCAAAUAAAGUGAAAUUUAUGUCAAUUGAAAGGUAAUACGUUUAUAGAUAUCCACAUGAAGGAAAAUGCAUGAUACUUUGUCAAUAUCAAAUCCCAAACUGAAUAAAAAGUUAGAUAGAAAAUCUAUCCAGCAGCUUCCAGCCUAACCUCCUCUUAGUAUUUUGCCUGUAUAUGGAGUUCUAUAACUCCAAACAAAGUGAGAUUUAUGUCAAUUGAAAGGUAACACAUUUAUAGAUAUCCACAUGAAGGAAAAUUCAUGAUACUCUGUCAAUAUCAAAUCCCAAACCAAACAAGAAGUUAGACAACAAAUCUGUCCAGCAGCUUAACCUCCUCUCGGUAGUUUGCCUAUAUAUGGAGUUCUAUAAUUCCAAAUGAGGUAAGACCAGUGCCAAAAGUUAGCUAACUCAUUUAUCUACAACUUUCAUAUGUAAUGUUAUAACAAUUUCAAUCGACUUCUAUGCCUAACAUUAGCAUAAUUUCUAUACUUACAUAUUUGUAAUGGAAGUAACAUACAAACAUGUUUAAGUUUCUGUUUCAGCCCUUGAUUUAGCCUUAGGAUAACUAUGUAAGGUCAUAAUUAGCAGAGAUUAGUAUCAAAUUUCUAUUCUCUUUCUUUCUACUUUCAUGGUCGUCCCUAAAGAGGAUUUGUUCCACUAAUUUCUAUCAUUUUCUUUUGUCAUAGAAGCUGAAAAUGUUUAACUUCUCAUCUCAACCUUUUAAUUUCAUCAUUUGUUUUUUUUUUGUCAAAAUCAUGAAGUUCUAGGAACCCUAAAUUAUUUAUAUUGGGGUUUUUUCCCCCUUUGGAUUCAAAACAAAUCAAAUUAACAAUAGAAUAGCAAGGGCUUAUCCUUACCUCACGAUUUUAUCUAAAGAUGGAAGGUGUUUUCUUGAUGGUUUUCUUCUUCUCCUCUUUAUCACUGUUUCAGCCGGCCCUUGUGCCCUCCAAACCUCAAGAUUUUAUGGAUCUACACUUCCUAAUUACUCUCCUCUCUCACGUAGGUUCAUGCAAGGUGUUUUGGGUGAGAAAUGUGUGCAAUAAAAGGGAGCCAAUCUUCUCUCUUCAACUUGUUCUAAUUGAAAGUGAGAGGAAAGGUCAGGAAUUCUUUUUUUUUUUUUAAUGUAUUUAUACUCCCUUAUAUAUGCCUUAGGUCUUGUUUGGUAGUUUGGUCAAAUUUGUUCCUAACAUUACUUUUCUCCUUGUUGUGUGCUUUAGUUCUUCAUUUCACAAUUUGUUUAACAUCUCUCCCUCAUCCUUCCCUUCACACAUUUUAAUCCUUAGACAUUUGUUAGUUUUUAUACCCAUAUUUUUGUAAAAUAUUUGACUUCGUAAUUUAUUUUCUUAUUUUGAAUUCACCCUAUAAGUAUUGAAACAUUUUUAUUUUCUAAAAAUUUCAACUUGGGGUUUACAUAACCUUUAAGAAGAAGUGAAAAGAAAAGGUUGAAGCAGACAUCAUGAUUAUCCAAAAUGCAAUAUUUGAUCCCUGGUCCCAACAACAAAUCCAUAGUUAUCACAAAGAUCUAGUCCAUUUCUUUUGCCUUCCUUCUCUUACUUUUCUAGCUAUUUUUUCCUACUUUCUACUAUCCAUUCUAGAGCUUCAGAUUCUUAUAUUGUACAUAGAAUUUGAGUCUAGUUUUUUAACAGUUCAUAAACCUCGAUCCAUCAUACAAUUUCUCAAGAUGAUGCUGUUAUAAUUUAAAAAAACUAUUUAUAGAAGAUUUAUCUUCAAGGACAAGAGUUGAAUCCUUAAUAGCACAUUUAUACUCCCUACUUUUCAUCUAAAUUUCUUUAACAAGUAAGUCAUAUUUACUUUGUCAUUAUAUUUAUGUCAUCUAGAUUAAUACUAGUUAGAUGGUCUGCGCUAUACCGUGAGCCAACGUUUUAUUUUCAUAAAAAAUAUCAAAAAAAUAUAAGACCCAAGAGCGUUGAGUCUAACUGUAACACUGGAUCUAAAAGCAUUGAGUCUGACUGUAACACUAGAUCUAAAAGUAUUGAGUCUGGUUGCAACACCAAACUCAACAAUAAUAUUUAUAAUAUAAAUAAUAAUAUUUAACUUGUCUGCCUAUAUUGUUAUAUUUUUAAAUCUUUAAAAAAAAAUUAUGAUUUUUCUUCAAUAGUAAUAAUAGUAUUAUUUUAAAUUUAUUAAUAAUAAUGAUAAUAAUAAUAAUAAUAAUUUUUAAUUUUACCUUUUAAAUCAAAUCUAUGGUGGUUUUUCAAUAUUGAUAAUAAUGUUUUUCAAAUUUAUUAAUAAUAUUAAUUAUAAUAAAAAUAAUAACAUUUAUAAUACAAAUAAUAAUAUUUUUAAUAUUAAUACUAUUAAUUAUAAUAAAAAUAAUAAUAUUUAUAACACAAAUAAUAAUAUUUUUAUAAUAAUAUUUUUAAGUAUAAUAAAAAUAACAAUAUUUAUAACACAAAUAAUAAUAUUUAGAAACCUAAAACACAUUAGUGUUGGAACUUGACGCCGGACCCAAGAGAAUUAGAUCCUAACACAGGUCUUAGGAGAAUUGGGUUCUAAAACAAGACCCAUUACCCUUGGAUCCUGAUGCUGGCCCCAAGAGAAUUGGGUUGUAAUGCAAGUGAGUUGGGUCCUAACGCAUGACCCAUCAGCCUUGAGUUUUGAAGCCGAACCCAAGAUAAUUGGGUCCUGAUGCAAUUCCCAAGAGAGUUAGGUCCUGACGUCGGACUGAAGAGAAUUAAGUCCUGACGCAGGACCCACUACUUAUGGGUCCAAACGCUGGAUCCAAGUGUAAACCCCAAUUGAAAAUUAGUCUGAAAAGCAAUUUAAAUGCUUAUAGAAUAGAUUUAUCAGAAGUACCAAAUAAGCAUUAGAACAAACCAUGUAAAAUAAAAAACAGAAAAGUGAAUAAAAUAUUACUAAGAGUGAAUUACCUAGAAAUAAAAUUAUCAAUAUGUAACUAAAUGAAAAUCGAAUUCACCCGGAUAAAAAGUUUAUACAGAGAAAUACUAGGAUCCAAGAAUUUUAUCUCAUGAACAAGAAAUUUACUAUUUAGGAUAUAGAGGGAAUUUGGUAAAAAGUUUAUAUAUAUAUAUAUAUAAGUGUGCAUGUGUGUGGGCAAGAAGAAAAAAGAGAGAAAAAGAAAUAGAGAGAAAUAGGGGAAACUAUCAUUUACAUGUGAGAGAGAAAACAAAAUGAUAAAAACAUAAAAUCUUAAGAGGAGAUCUUGAGGGAACAUUAACCAAACUUAGUGAGCAUUAAUUGGAAGGAAGAAAAACCUAGAAAAAAAGGAGGGAAGUUCAACCAAGAUUAAAGAAAAGAGGAGUUGGAAGCUUGAAUUGGGUAGUGUUUAGAGUCUUAUUAUUUGCUUGGUAGGGCAUUCUAAAGACUUUUAAUUUGAUUUUUAAUGGCUUAAAGUCUUUAAUUGAUUGAAUUUUUGAAAUUUGGAAAGUUAGGGUUCUUGAAUGAAUUUGGAAGAAAUAAAACUUUACUGUAAAUUAUCAUGGGGAAUAAUGUGAAAGUUAGAGUAAAGUAAUUAAAUUAUUGUAGUUGAAGUAAAAAAUUUUGAUAAUUAAAUAGGGCUAGUGGUUAACCAAUGAUGAGAGUUUUUCAAUCUUAUUUUAUGCUACUCUGUUAGUGCUUUAUACUCCAUGAUGUGAAUUGAUGAACAAUGUAGGCAAUAGAACUAUUUUUUUGAAUAUCUCUUUACAACUUCUUAAAUUUCAUGGAGAUGUCUGAUGAGGAAUAUAGUUGAUUGUUGGUCCUUAUUAGAUUUUGUAUGUAAUGGAGUUAUGAGACGUUAAUAAUUCAUUAGAGAUGUUAAUUUGAUGGCUAAAAUCCAUGAAAUUCAACGGGACUAUUACAAAAGGUGAGAUAUUUAAGACAGUAACAAAUCAAACAUUAACAGUUGAGGUUUAAGACAGUAACAGAUCAAAUAGUAACGGUUGAGGUCUAAGACAGUAACAGAUCAAAUAGUAAUAGUUGAGGUCUAAAACAGUAACAGAUCAAACAUUAACAGUUGAGGUCUAAGACAGUAACAGAUCAAAUAGUAAUAGUUGAGAUCUAAAACAGUAACAGAUCAAGCAAUAACAGUUGAGGUGUAAGACAGUAACAGAUCAAGUAGUAAUGGUUGAGGUCUAAGACAGUAACAGAUCAAACAUAUAUAUAUAUAUAUAUAUAUAUAUAUAUAUAUAUAUAUAUAUAUAUAUAUAUGAGAACUGAGUUGUGUGGACACUUGCACGUUGAGAUACUGACUCUGAAAAUAUAUAUGAUAUGUGUAUAUAUGUUAUGAUGAAGAAAUAAACAUGCAUAAAAAGUAACAUAUGUGUAAUGAAUGAAUAUGGAUUCAGGAGGAGUGACCAUGAUUGGAUCUUCUGUUGGGGGAGGUCACGAGACAGGCGAAGCAGGUGCGUGAUUUUCCCUCCUCUUUGCACUUAUGCAAUUUAAAUAUAUUUUUUUGGUGAAUGCAAUUACAAUAAAUGUCAUGUUCAAUGUAAAUAAAAUCUAGCAUAUUUACAAAAUUAGCUUCGGCUAAUAGCAUCUGUGAUAGAAUUGCUAGGAGAUGAACUACAAGAUUAACUUUGACUAAUGUUGUCCGCGUUGGGACGCCCGAGAACGAUUGAUAAGACUCGAUUUGUAAAGGGUAUCCGUGUUUGAAUGAUCUAGGGGAAAUUGAUAAAUAUAAUUGCCUAAAAAUGUCUAAGUUGGACUAUACAAAGUCACCCGGUUCAUGCAAGUAAAUAAGAGUAUUUAAAUUAAGGAUAUGCAAAUGAGUUUUAAUUGGGUUUAAAUGAUUUACAAGCAAAUUAUAAGUUGAUUGUUAGAAUUCCUAUGGAUUCGAUAGAAAAUUUAUACUUCAUUCGUAUACAUUACAUGAUCAUAUAUAUUUCUUUUAUCAACAUAAUGGUAUGCUUACUUAGUUGUUUGUGUAACAUGUCCAUCAACUGUCCAGGGAGAUCAUUAGUUUGGGACUCCACUUUGUUAAGCUUAUGUAAAUAUUUAACUUAAGCAUAAGGGAAUUAACAUGAUUAUACAAUAUGUUUUUGUGUAAAUCUUGAUGUAUAUAUAAAAGUCUUAGCUCAACAUAUAGUACAUUAGUUAUCUUGUAAUUAACUCUUUUGAAAUGUUUAAAAAUACUUAUUAUAUUUUAAAUUUUCUCUUUACAUGUUAGUAUCCCUUUUUCCUUUUAAAUAUUAUAAUAUGAUUUGUGGGAUAUAUAUAUAUAUAUAUAUAUAUAUAUAUAUAUAUAUAUAUAUAUAUAUAUAUAUAUAUAUAUUGUGUGGAUUGUAUGAGGUGUUGAAUAUUGAUGAUUGAAAUAAAGUCUGAAAUUAUAGGACCUUAUGAUGAUGGGUUGAUUGAGUAAAUUGAUAGUAGUCGAUAACUUGGGAUAUCCUAAAUACAAACGAAACUCUACCAAAAUUUUGGUAGAAAUCUUUACAAAAACAAUUACCCUCAAAUUAAGAGCAUAUGAUGGGGUCUUUUAGCGUUGAUCAAAUUGUACAGUUGAGUCUGUUACAGUUGGUAUUAGAGCCCUGGUAUGGAUUCUAGGAAGAAUUCAAAAGAGGUUAUUGAUGUUUGUUAAUUUAUUGCAGGAUGGUACGUACCCACCAAGAGAUUAGAUCAGAUCUAUCUUCAACAGGGAGGGGGAAUAAAGAUAUAGACUUUUACGUUGGGCAAGAAGAGAACCUUUUGAAAGAUACUGCUUCACAUGCACCAGCAGUAUCGACUAAAGCAGGGCAUGAAGAAUCGAUGGGGCCUCAAGUCCGACAGGCACCAAGACAAAGGACCCAUUAGCCUUGGAUCCUAAUGCCGAACUUAAGAGAAUUAGGUUCUGAUAGAGGACCCAUUACAUUUGGGUCCUAACGUCAGAUCCAAGAAAAUUGAGUGUUGACGCAAGACCCAUUAGCUUUGGAUCUUGACACUGAACCAAAGAGAAUUGAGUUCUGACACGGGACCCAUUAGCUUAUGGUUCUAAUGCAGGACUCAAGAGAGUUUGAUCCUAACACCAAAUCCAAGAGAAUUGGGUGUUAACGCCGAAUCCAAGAGAAUUGGGUUAUGACACAGGACUCAUUAGCUUGGGUCUGGACACGGAUACAUUACCAAUGGGUCUAGACGCCGGACACAACAACCUUUGGUACGAUACGAACCCCAGAGUGGGCUAGAUAGGGCUGCAAGACCCAAGUGAUUUGGGUCUGCUCUUUUGCCAAACCCAAGUAACUUGGGUGAGGCACCCCUUUCCAGCCCCAGGAUUUUUAGGUCUGGAAAGGGAUGCCUAACCCAAGUUAAUAACAAUAAUAUUAUAUUUUACCUUUAAAAUCAAAUUUAUGUUUUUUUAUAGUAAUAAUAUUUAUUUUAAUUUUAAUAAUAUUAAUUAAUUGAAUAAUAUUUAUAAUAAUAUUUAACUUAUCUGUCAAAGUUCUUAUAUUUUUUAAUCUCUUAAAAAAAACAUUAUAGUUUUUUUUCGAUGAUAAUAAUAUUUUUUUAAAAUUUACUAAUGAUAACAACAACAACAACAAUAAUAUUUAAUUUUACAUUUUAAAUCAAAUCUAUUAUUAUUUUUUAAUAAUAGUUUUUAUAAAUUUAUUAAUUAUUAUAUUAAUAAUAAUCAAAAUAAUAAGAUGUUAUGUGGGAGGGUCUGCACCCAUCACGGUUCUGGAGACCCAGGUAAUAUCACAUUAAUAGUGAAAGAUCUACUCAACCAUGAUUUUAAAAGUUUUCCUUGACGAACAUGCGACGUUUUUUAGCCAAGAAAAUACGAUGUCGUAGGGCAAUCUUUAAAAAUUAUUUUUAUUUAAUUCUGUGGUAAUUAAGAUAAAUACGUGUAGGAAUUCUGAUAAUUUAAAUUAUGGAGAAUAAACUUAUUCAUUGUUCAAUAAACACUGUGAUUUGUGAGUGUAUGCACAGUGUUGUUUUAUGUACAGAAAGAAAAGGGAGCCAUGUUUUAGUUUAUAGUGUUAGUGUUACUAUUUCAUGAGAAGCUAAUCCUGUAUUAGUUUUUGGUAGUUCAGAAAUUAAUGUGAUUUACUUAGCUAAUCCAGUUCCCAUGAGAAGCAAAAGAUCCUGUAUAAAGUUUUCUAUAAUGACAUUUUGUAUUUAAUUUUUUUGUUUUAAAAGAAGUUAAAUUUUUAUAAUUUUUUUCAAAAUAAUUUUUUAUUUUUUUAUAUUAUUUGAAUAUGCUGAUUUUAAAACUAAAUUCUAAAUAAUAAUAAAAAAUUAUUUAAAUAUAUUUUUAAAAAACAACUGAAUUUUUGCAGAAAACCCAGCUAUAAAUUAACAUCUUUAGCCCGUGACGGUAACCGGCAGUUCUACCCAUGACGGUGGCGGUGAGUCCUCCCAAUUGUACAUGUCGGAUCCUUCUUGCCCGGGACGGUGAUGGGCAAUCCCGCCUGUCAUUUCAGUGUGGCCCCAGGUGAAAUGAUUUUAAAAUAUAAAAAAAUUAGCUUUUAAUAAUUAAAUAAUUUUAAUUUAAAUUGAGGAAAAAAGACUUCUUAACAAAAUAAAACUUACGAUAUUACAGUAACAAACAUGCUAAAAAACAUCUUCUUUUUCAAAGCAUGCAACUACAGGACCAGCCAUAUUAAGCUGCUUGUGAUAUUACUCCUCAUACAACCAAAUCAAUCCAUAACCUACGAGAUUUAUUGCAACUCUUGCUUACUUUUCAAUUCCAUAACCUAUGCUUGCUUUCAAAUAUAUAUAUAUACUAACUUUGAACGACAAACAUGUUUGUAAAUUAAGAGUGAAAGGAAAGUUGAAAAUCACAGGGAGAGCCUUAUAUAUAUAUAUAUAUAUUACUCCUCAUAGAAUUUCAUGAAGCAUUGAGGUUCUGGGCGAGAAGUUGACCACUCCUGAUAUUCUGGGCUUCUUCAAAAGCCACAAGCUCAAUGAUCGAUGGUCUUCUGGGAAAGUUGAAAGAAACACUGAAUACCCUCAACGGACUUCUCGACGACGCGGAGGAGAAGUAGAUUACCAAGCCUGCUGUGCAGAAGUGGCUUAAUGAUGCUAGACAUGCUGUGUAUGAAGCUGAGGACUUAAUGGAGGUGAUUGAAUAUCAACAUCUACGAUCCAAGGAUAUUAAAGCUGCCUCUCGACGAGUUAGGAAUCGGGUAAGCAUAUGGUUUUGCUCUUGUAGACCUUGCUUUCUCGUAUAAUGUUAUUAUCGAUCCCUCUGAUUUUUACAAGCACAAUUCGAAAUUGUAAGAUAUCAGAAAAUUUCAUAUCUUUUCUUGAAAUAUUUCAUGCAAACAACACCCCUCAAUUAUGCUAAUUUAUCUCAUGCAACCAAUCCUAUGAUACUAUCCUGCAACCACUACUCAUUAUUAUUCCAACAAAUUCCAACCACUUUUUAAUAGCCCAGCCUGGCCAAGCUGUCAACUUAAUUAAAACAUGUUCAAUCUAGAAUUUGAAUUAAAUUGUUUUUUUUAAAACAAAAAUCAAAGUUGACCCAUUAAUUUUUAAAAAAACAUUAGCACUAAAUGUUAAAUAUUGGUGUCAUAACACCUUUGAAAAAAAAAUUAGUGGAAUAGCUUAUUUUCACAUUUUUAAUAGCAAUAUUUAGUAAAUAUUAUUUUUUUGAAGUGCAACAAAGUGAAAGUCCAAUUAUUUGACUUAAUUAGUUAGUUGAUUGAAUUUAAUUGUAUUAACUAGUCGAUUAUUUCACAUAAAAACCAUAAUUUUAUGAAUUUUUUCUUUCAAAUAUAAAUUAUGAGUCAAAAUAUACAUGUGUCUAACAUCUAGACUAAAAAAUAGAUUUCAAUUAAAGUUUUAAAAAAAUUAUUAUUUACAUAGUAGUUGUUAUCUAUUUUUCAAUGUCAAUUAAUGAUGUAGAAAAGCUUGUGACAGUAAGUGAUUCUAAGUUGUCAGAUGUUUGUUUAUCAUAACUAUAUAAGGAUUGUCCUAAAUAAAUUAAAUGUAUGACCUAACAAAUAUAUUUAUAGACCAAUAAAAUAGUUUGAAGCUUAAGAGGAGAUUUGAUCCCACAAAGCCAGAAUAAUAAGAAAAAAAACCAUAAUUUUUUAUUUGACUAUUGAAUUGCACUCAAAUUUUUAUAGGAGUUUUUAAAAACCACAUUCUCUAUUGUAGUCACUGCAUUGCUAUGUAGACUGUUAAAUCUUUAGAUAUAAAAAAUCUCGUCAAAACCCCUUGAUUUUGGUAUUUUUAAGAUUUUUAUUAUUAUUUUCGGAAUUAAUUGACUAAUUUCAUUAACUAUUAUGAACAAGUCAAUUAAUUAAGUCAAAUGAUUAAAAUUUUACCUUAUCAGAACCUUAUUAGAAACAUAACAUUUAUUAAAUGUCACUAUUCGAAAAAACGACAAUUAUUUUGUGAUGCUUAGGAAUAGUAACAUUUAAUAAAGUUUCCAUUUCUAAAUCCAGCUAGUAGAAGGAUGAAAGAGAUGGGAGCAGAGUUACAAAAGAUCCAUGAGAAGCUUGAACGUUUUACUUAUACACAAGGGUGAUCUGCGCCAUAUAGAAGUUACUGGUGGACGCAGACCAUUGUCAGAGAAAACAACUCCACUGGUUAAUGAAUCUAAUGUAUAUGGAAGGGACGCUGAUAAGGAAGCCAUAAUGGAGCACUUGUUGACACAACACACCACAGAUGGCUCAAAUUUACGUGCGGUCCCUAUUGUGGGCAUGGGCGGGAUUGGUAAAACCACUCUUGCUCUGCUUAUCUACAAAGACGAAAGGGUACAGCAACGCUUCCAACUCAAGGCCUGGGUCUGGGCUUCUCAACAAUUUGAUGUUGCCAGGAUUAUUAAGGAUAUUCUUGAUCAACGCAAGAACUUGCCGCACCAAAGAACCAGAUGAAUCUCUAAUGGAGGCAGCGAAAGGGAAAAAACUUCUUCUUGUUCUAGAUGACGCGUGGAACAUCGAGUACAAUGAAUGGGAUAAACUACUGCUACCUUUGCGGUAUGUGGAGCAAGGAAGUAAGAUUGUCGUGACAACACGGGAUCAAGAUGUAGCAAAAGUCACGCAAACUGUCAUCACCCCUCACUGCUUGAAAGGAAUAAGCGAUGAAUAUUGCUGGAAGUUGUUUGCAAGGGAUGCAUUUAGUGGUCUAAAUUCUGAAGCAGUCUCACACUUGGAAGCAUUUGGCAGAAAAAUAGUGAGAAAGUGCAAAUGUUUGCCGCUGGCAGCGAAAACUCUUGGUGGUCUUUUGCACUCCGUAGAAGAUGUCAAGCAAUGGGAGAAGAUAUCCAAUAGCAGUUUGUGGGGUUCGUCGAAUGAAAACAUCCCUCCAGCUUUAAAAUUGAGCUAUUAUUAUCUCCCUUCACACCUGAAACGUUGUUUUGCUUAUUGUGCAAUAUUUCUCAAAGGUUAUGUAUUCAAGAAGGAUGGAUUAAUCACUGAAUGGAUGGCACAUGGUUUUUUAUUCCAGCCAGAGGUGUUGAGGAGAUGGAAGAUAUAGGUGAAAAAUACUUUGAUGAUCUUGUCUCCAGGUCAUUUUUCCGGCAAUCACUUUAUGCUCCAUCAUAUUUCAGCAUGCAUGACAUCAUAAGUGAUUUAGUUGAAUACGUGUCAGGAGAAUUUUGCUUUAAGCUUGGUAUUAAUGAAUCGGGAUCUGGGUUGGAGGGUGAACAUUCAUGCUCGCUUCCAGAAAGGACUCGUUAUUUAUCAAUCACUUCAGCGGCAGUUCGGACAUUUCGUAGCAUUCAUGGAGUCCAACAUUUGCGCGCCUUGUUUCCACUAUAUAUUUUCGGGGAAGAUGAUAGUGAGGCACUGAAUGACAUCUGGCUAAAUCUUAAGCGCUUGCGAAGGCUAUCUUUAUGUCAUCUAAAAGAUAUUUCUUCUCAGUUGCUCAAUUCCAUUGGCAACUUAAAACAUUUGCGGCACUUGGACCUUUCUCGCACCGCCAUUAAAAGGUUACCUAAAAGUGUGUGCACUUUGUACUAUUUGCAAAGCUUAUUGUUAAAGAAGAGCCGACAUCUCAUGCAGUUGCCAUCCAACCUUUUCAACUUGGUCGCCUUACAACAUCUUGAUAUUGAGGGGACAAAUCUGAAAAAGAUGCCACCGAAAAUGGGGAAACUCACAAGGCUUCGAACUUUGCAAUAUUACGUAGUGGGAAAAGAGAGGGGGUCUAGCAUGAAAGAGCUGGGGAAGCUCUCACAUUUAAGGAAAAAACUUUCUAUUCGGAAUCUCAGAGAUGUUGCAAAUGCUCAAGAUGCUUUGGAUGCCAAUUUGAAGGGUAAGAAGAAGAUUGAGGAGUUGAGGUUGAUAUGGGAUGGCAAUACAGAUGACACCCAACAGGAGAGAGAAGUACUUGAGAAAUUGGAGCCUUCUGAAAUUGUGAAACAGCUUGCCAUUAAGGGUUACGGGGGUACAAUGUUUCCAGACUGGCUUGGAAACUCUUCUUUCUUAAAUAUGGUAGCGUUGACUCUUUCUGGAUGUAAGAACUGCAUCUCCUUACCACCAUUGGGGCAGCUGCCAUCUCUUGAAGAGCUCCAUAUUGAAGGAUUUGAUGAUGUCGUGGCAGUUAGUUCUGAGUUCUAUGGAAGCGACCCUUCGAUGGAGAAGCCAUUUAAAUCCCUCAAAAUAUUAAAGUUUGAGGGGAUGCGAAACUGGCAGGAAUGGAAAACAGAUGUAGCUGGUGCUUUCCCUCAUCUUGCAAAUCUCUUGAUAGCAGGUUGUCCCGAGUUAACAAAUGGCUUGCCUAAUUACCUUCCUUCUUUAUUGAUACUUGAGAUUCAAGCGUGUCCACAGCUUGUGGUUUCAAUUCCAGAGGCUCCCCUGCUCACCGAAAUCAAUGUAAAAGUCACUAAAACUUUCAUCCCCUCUCACCGCUGGAAUGCACUAAGCGAUGAAGAUUGCUAGCAGGUUCUUCUUGCAAGGUAUGCAUUUUAGGGAGAGGAUAUCCAAUAGCAGUAUGUUACUAAAAAAAUAUUUUUAAACUGUAUAUAUAUAUUUUUUAAAAUACACUAGGUAUAUUAAGUUUGUAAAGCAAUGGGAGGAGAUAUAUUAAGUUACUAAAACAAGGUGUUUAUCAUUUUGUUUGGUUGUCCAUAAGGUUUUGUUACGCAACUAUAUAAAAAUAAAAAUCAUAAUUUGUCGACAUUACGGCACAGAAUUGUGAAAUUCAUCCUCUCUUGCCAUCGAAACCUGAGAGUGUUUUGACUUUUGGAGUGGAGGGCAGAAAUAAAAUUGUAGUUAUAUUAAGUUAUAAAAAAAAUAGUUUUAAACUGUAUUUAAAAAAAAUACAUUAGGUAUAUUAAGUUACUAAAUUUUUUUAUUAAACUGUAUUUUUUUUUAAAAUACAUUAGGUAUAUUAAGUUUGUCAAGCAAUGAGAGAAGAUAUAUUAAGUUACUAAAAAAAUAUGUUUAUCACUUUAUUUUUAUUUCUCGUAAAAGUCGGUUACGCAAUCGAAUCGGGGAUGAUUGGUUGAAUGAUUGUUUGGUUACUUAUAUCGAAAAAAAUAUAUUUGAAAGUGUUGAUAAUGGAAAGAUUCUAUAACGUUUUCAGCAUAUGAAGUCUUGCAGGGAUUUCACGGAGCAUCUUUUUAUAAUAUAUGUGAAUUUUUAAAUUUUAUAUUAGAAGCUUAAAAUUUUUAGAUUUUUUAGAUCUUAAUUAAUUUAGUUAUAUUAUUUUGCUAUCUAUGAAAACUCGAUCUGGAUCCGUCCUUUAUCAAAUGAAGUAUAUAUCAUGUUGAAACCGGUAAUGAGUUUCGAUUGAUAGAAGAAUCAGGAAAAAAAAAUUAAAAUAGAUGUGCUUUGAGAGUGAUAAAAUAAUUUCAAGGAAUCAUAGUAAAAUAACUUAUAUGGUUCUAGCAAUAUUGAAAAAGAAAAUUUGGAUUUAGACAUAAAAUUAUAUAUUGACUAGUUUUACGCUAUUGAGCAUGACUCUCAAUUCGAUCUUUCGAUUGAGUUGAAAGUCCACAAGAAGACUUCUGAUAUAUUGCUCUAUCUUGGGUUAAAAGUUUAGGGUAGGCCAUCAUAGAAUAUCAACAGUCGAACUAAAAAUAACAUGUAGAUUCAUUAAUGAUAUUUUCAUAAAUAAGCUAGAAAAACUAAAAAUUUAGUUUCUUCUUCCCCUCUAAACUACCGGCUAGUGCUAAAACAACUAUAAUAGAAAAAACAAAUUGAGAGCUUACUCAUUGGAACCCUUGAAUCAAGAUUUAAGGCAAGAUAGGUGAGGGAAUAAAUAUUAAACACAUCUCGACUAAGUGCCAUCCUAUAAAUUUGUUUUCAAUUUGCAUUUGAUGAAAAAUAUACAAGGAAUCAUAAAUGAAUUAACUUAAGCAUUGCGAAGGAAAUAUCAAGAUAUCAUAAAUGUGUUGACAAGUUAAAAAGUUUUGAAACAACAAAUUUAAAUGAUAAGGGAUGAAGGAUGAAAAUAUUUAGUUGAUGAGAUUUUUUUUUGGUGUGAAAGACAUAGCAUUGAUAUUUCAAAAAUAAAUGAUGUGUUUGUCAUUUGCAGCCGAUCAAGGUGUAAUACCCAACAAUUAAUAAACUUGUAUCAUUAACAGGCCGAGCUGUUCUAUACAACAAUUGACAUGCAACUUCACGAGCUUAACAAUUGUUUUAUCAAGAUACACAUGGAGUUGCUUCCUUGCAUUGCAUGUUUGAAACUCAAUCUCUAUAAUAUUAUAAAUAGGUUAGCAUUGCAAUAACAAAAAAAAAAUAUGAUAACCAUGACAAUAAUAAUAAUAAUAAUAUGAAUAUGUAUAUUUUUAUUAGUUGAUGGAUCAAUUUGAAAGCAUCAAAGUACUUUUUUGUAAAAAUAAACUAAUAAAUGGUACACCCGAGGCAAAAUUAUAGCCAAUAUAGCUUGUUGGCCAAGGGAAAGUGUCACGGGGGUAUUUUUCGCUACGCGAAUAAACCCGUGCGGCAGCCUAGUCCUUCGCUAGACUCAGCCUUCCCUCACCAAUCUCACUCGUGUUUGCCUAAUAACUAAGCAAGCGGAAUACACAAGCAAGGAUAAGAAUCAUAGUGCACAACAAGCUUUACAGGAACUCUUUCCCAACCUUUAUUAAUCUCAUACACAAAGGAAACUAUACACAAAUCCGUAUGUGUGCUAUGCACAAAGAUUACAUGCUACACUAAGCUACCUCUAACUAGUGUUCUACACAUGUUCUUGCAUGCCCCUACAUGCUGGACAUUCCCAACCGAAUGCCCUUACAAUCUGAACAUUCCCACCUGAAUGCUCUCCCACAACCAAGAGCUACAUCUUGUAUUUAUAGACAAGCAAAGGAGCUGCAAAGGCUCCUCCCCAUUAUCCCCCAUUUUCAGGACCUAGUGGAGCACUACCUCUCUCCCAUGAUCCCAUGUUUUCAGGACAUGGUGGAGCACUACCUCUCACCCAUGAUCCCAUGUUCUGCCUCCCAUGAAGCUGCCACUCUCCUUAUUUUCUGGCUGUCUACUUGGCAGCCCCAGCUGCCAGCUUCUGCUGCGUCAGCUGCUGACUUAGAAGGUCCAUCAUCUAAGCCCCCACGUCCAUGUCAAGUCGCAAGCUCAAAGACUCGCAUAGACCAUUGCAUGCUGCCUGCCGAAUUCAUCUCUGCCUAUGCAAGGCUGCCGCGAUCCAUCGCUGCCGAAUUCUAAGCAGAGUGCCUUCGUUGGCGCGUCCCAGCGCCUAGAGCUCUUAGCCCAUGCCUUGGACAGUCCUUCGCCCAAGUUUUAGAUCGUGCCAAGUCGAGCCCCUGACUUGCACAAGUUUGCUGCGCGCUGCCGAGUCCGCAUCUGCAGGCAAGCUGCCAAUGCGCUGCCGAAUUCGCAUAUGCGUGCUGCCAAUCUCUGCGCUGCCGAAUUCGCAUCUGCGUGCAGGCUGCCCCUGUCUACGCUGCCGAAUUCUGCGAUAGUCCCAAUUCUCGUCAGCCUAUCCUCCUGACGAGGCUUGGACAGUCCCUCGUCCAGCCCAUGUUCGUCAACAAUCUGCGCUGCCGAUUUUCCCUUUGACGAACCUACAGCCGCAUAAAUCUGCGCUGACGAUUUCUCCCACUGAUGGCAUGGCUGCCAGCACCCUUCGGCCUUGUUUUGGCCAGCCUGCCGAAGCGUGCACCUCGUGCACAUUUGACACUGUGACAGAAAGAGUCUUUUCGUUUGUAGUUUUGGAGUAGCAAAUAAUGGCUUAUGAUAAGCAAACGUUGAUUCAUCUUGCUUAAUUCUAUCUAUCUAUUUUCUUCAUAGUUGAGCUUGCAGCACUUAUAAUCAACUGGAAACUUAUAUUCUUGACAUGAGAUCCUGUGAAGAAUUUCCAAAGCUAAAAGAAAUCAAUUAUUCUGCUAAAAAAUUGGUAAAGACAAACUAUUUCAUUAGAAAAUAAAAUAUUUUCAGCGAUGAAAUUGAUUAAAAAUUGAUUACGCAAUCGAAUCAGAGAUGAUUAAUUAAAUGAUUGUUUGAUUAUGAUUACUUAUAUCGAAAAAGAUAUAUUGAGAAGUGAUAAUAAUAAGAAAAUCCUAUAUUUCAACAUAUAAAAUCUUGCAAGGAACAAUUAUAAAUUAUAUAAAAAAGAAUUUCAUGAAUCAUCUUUAUAUAUAUAUAUAUUACAAAUUUAUAAUUUUAAGAUUUUUUAAAUCUUAAUUAAUUUAAUUAUAUACUUAUAUUAUUUUAUACGUUAAAACUGGAGUCCAUCCUUCAUCUUAAUGGCAUAGAUGAAAUAUCUUAUUUAUGCCCAUUUGAAGAUAAUUAAUCCAGACUUAAUCCACUUGAUGAUGCCUUAAUCAUGCUGAUAAAAAAAGAUUAAUACAUUAAGCACAAGUGUUGAUAUAAUCAGUGGCAGAGCCCCGGGGCUGGCAGGACCCGGCCUUGUAAGAAAAUGUUCUUGUCAAUAUUUUUUUAAUAAUAUUUAUAGUUUCAGCUCAAAUAAUAAAAUAACUGAAAUCUUUGCCUUCUAAAAUAUUUUUUUUAAUUUUAUUUUGUGACCCAGCCCUAAAUAUAAUAUAAAUAAUUUAAUAUUGUUAGGAAGUUUUAAACCGGCUUCCAUGAAUUUAAUAUUGCCUAUCAUUUCAGCGUGUCCCGAGGUGAAAACAUUUGGCCUUUUUUUUUAAUUACUGAAAACUUAACAUGUCAUGUGCUAAAUUCUUUUUUUUAUUAUUUACGUGGGGUGUCCGGGCCAGCUUACGCGCACCACGACUAUUCCCCACAGCCCGCUGGACAUCCUGCAAGCCCAGGAGCAGGUAAGGCACCGCGGAGGUGACAGGCGUGCACAUAGAGGGUCGAACCCGGGACGGGAGCGGAACAAGUCACACGAUUGACCACAACAGCUAGACCCUCAAGUGCAUCAUGUGCUAAAUUCUUGAAGAACCCAGUGAAUGCCAAAAUUAAAGAUUCAUUUUGAAAAUUAAUUUGAAAUAAAAAUGAAAAAAUAUAAUUUUUUUUCAAAAAUACUUUUACAUCCAGAAACAAAAAUGACCUUAUGUAAGGGACAUGCACGUAUCCACUUAGAUAUAAAACCCCAGCCAAGAAACCAAAGAAGAGAAGUAGAGAACGGUAGCUCAGGGGAGCGUUUGGCAUGGAAAAAUGAAAGGGCACGGUCGUAUAUAUUCUUUGGAUUUCCACAUUGGUAAUAUAUACAUGAAUUUGUUUUUAUAUUAAGAAUUAUGUUUUAUGAUUGUUUUAAAUAAAAUUUGCUUUAAAUUAAUAUUGUUUUAGUAUUGUUAAAUUAUUUUAAUGUAAUAAUAUAAAAAAUAAUUUUUUAUUUUUUUAAAUAAAAAAUAAUUAUUACCAUACUCACCAUCAAAACUUAACAAGUACGGUAGGUAUGCAUCAAAGAAAAACCAAAGGACGGUAGGUAUGCAUCAAUGCCAUAAAUAGAGUUUGUCUUGUUCAGAAGACUUUGAAAGUGGCUUCGUUGACUCUGCAGACACGAAGAAUAGUCAAAAGUCCUAAAAUUAACUCAUCUUUGCUAUCCACGGCGGCGCAUCAUUAGUGGGUUUGGAAAUUAACAUGGUGCUUCCGAUGAGCCAAGCUAUGUGUUCACAGUGAUUAAUUCGAAUGUGUAAGCAAUAUCGUUGCUAUCACCAUUUGCUUUGAAGGGCUAUUUAAAAAUAUAAUAGUAGUUAUUUCUUUAAAAUAUAUAUUAAAUAUAUAUAUUUUUUUAUUUUUUAAAAAUUAUUUUUGAUAUUAAUACAUCAAAUCAAAACAAAACAAAAAAUAUAAAAAAAUUAAUAUAAAAAAUUUAAUUUUAAAAAAACAUGAUUUUAAAUGCGAUCCCAUACAAUAGAUUAGAUAGAAAAAAAAAGGAAACUGGAAAAAAAACAUUAAUUAAAAUGAUAAAUAGAUAUAAAUAAAUUAUUUUUUCUUCAAAUUAGAAUCGUUAUUUUCUAUACACUAUUGUCGCUAAAAUUAUAAAAUCAUUUUAUAAUUUAUAAUCAUUUUCUAUAUAUUAUUGUUGCUUUUUUUCAUAUAUAUAUAUAUAUAUAAUCCUCACUAUGAAAUUCUGAAAGAGAGAACGGCGGCUAAAAGCAACAACAUUUUAGCUAGAUAAAUAAAGUUUAAUGACUUGAUAUGUUCUUAUAUUAUAAAAUAUUUCUUUGAUCUAUUUCUAUAUAUCUAAUUAAGUUAAUUUUAUUCUUUAAUAUAUAUUAAAUUUAUAAUUUAUCAUUCUUCUCAUGUAAACUCACUCCAAUUUGUCAUGUGUCUGUUACAUGCAAAACUAGAAGAUUAUAUUUAAAAUUUAACAUAUAUUUUAAAUAAAAUUGACUUAAAUAAAGAUAUAAUAGGUCAAUGAUAGAUAAAUAGCCCACUAUCGAAGGAUAUACUACGUUACUAAAAAAAAACCUGUUUAUCAAUUUGUGUGGUUGUCCACUAGGUUUUGUUCUCUCCAUUGAUAUUAAUUAUCAUCAGUAUCUGAAUGGCAUAGCAUAGGUUAAAAACUUAUUAUUAAUAUUUUAUGGAUGUACACAAGAAGAUAAUUAAUCCAUAAUAAUUUUUACGGUUUAACUGUCUAUAUAUUUUUAAAUUUUAUUAUUCGAUUAACAAAUUUAUUUAUACAUACCGCUUCCACGAGUUUUCUUGUCUCUUCCUUUCCUUUAAAGUCCCCGAAUUCCCAUCAUGGCUUAUUAGCUUUCUACUACUAUCAUUCUCUCUCUCACCCUUUCGCAAAAAUCGACAACUUCAUGACUCAGAAAUCUUGACCCCAUCUCCUAACAAUUCAUAGACAGGUAGGGUUCAGCAUUGCACCAUUCUUUUCAAGAACUGGUGGGAUGUCACAGAUUUCAAAUAGAUGGUAGGAAUGGACCUCUCGAUGAUAAGUAGGGCCCAAAUUGCCGCCCAAAGGCCAUUGUAGAUUCACGUUCAGAGAACAUCAGAUGCGAUGCUUAGCCGACAGUAGAGAAGAAUGAUUACUUCUGAAGAGAAUAUCAUUACAAAAUGAUCCCCGGCAAACAGUCAGGGAUGCCAGCACGGCCGGCUUACAUUGUUAAGCUUGUAACAAUCUAUAAUCAACUCGAAACUUAUAUUCUUAACCUGAGAUCUUGUGAAGAAUUUCCAAAGAUAAAAAGGAAUCAAUGAUCUUGCUCAGAAAUUAGUGGAGGCCAAGAAGGUUGUGGUUAGUAAUUUUACCUCGUGUGAAUAUAAUAUAAAUAAUUUAAUAUUGUUAGGAAGUUUAAAACCGGCUUCCAUGAAUCUUCUUGUCUUUUCUUUUCCUUUAAAAGUCUAUAUGGUUGUUCUCUUAAUGCAAUUCAUUGGAUUCUGCUUUCUACGGCCUUCUCUCUCACACCGUCCGCGAAGAUCCACCAUGGCUUCUGCUAUUGUCCUUUUUUUUUCUCUCCCGUCCUUUUGAUACUGUCGUCCUUCCGCAAAAAUCCACCAUGGCUCUGGGGUUGAGUAGAGGUUAAUUAUCUGUGCUGUCAUUGAGGUUUUGGUCGACAGGCUGUCCUCUCCUGAGGUUCUAGGCUUUUUCAAAAGACAAGCUCAAUCAAUGGAAAAGUUGAAGUUAAACAUUAAAUUAUUCUCCUUUUUUAUUUUUUUUCACAAGUAUUUAACCGUUCAAUUUGUAAGAACAUCAGUCUUUUUUAUAAGCCAACAAUUACACUUUUUAAAUUUGCUAUUAUAAUAAUUAUUUAUUUAUGUGAUAAUUUCACCAAUGUUUUUUUGGCCUUGUACCAAAUACCUUCUAAGAGUAAUACCAGAUGAAAUUUUUUAAAAUAUUUUUGAACCUCAUAGUUUCAUAUAUCUAUAUUUUAACCGUUAACUUCAUUUCUCACACGUUUCACUCUUUGACUAUUGAGUUUUGAUCCUUGCAAUUCUCAUAAAAGUACAUUUUGGUUCCUUAAGUUUUUAUUUUUAUUUUUGAUCCUUAUAAUUUCAGGUAUUUAUAUUUAAUUCUAAAAUUUUAUUUUCCUUACAUUUCAAUUCCUUUAUGUUGCGAUUAUAGAGAGAAAGUCGCUAGAAAAAAGAGAGGAAAGAGAAGUAUUUUGGUGAGUUGUAUUUCAAGAACAAAAAAUGUUGAUUUUGGAGAGUUGUAUUUUGAAUGAAACAGACCCAACCAAGGCCCCGAGUUACCCGGGUCCUGGGUUGACCCGUCAAGCGGGGCUGAGUUUGAUAACUAUGAUAACAACCAUGUCAGACCCAAGAUGUUAGGUAUAUCCUUGGAUCUAACGGCCAUAUCAGACCCAAUAGCCUUGGAUCUUACAUGACUACCAGACCUAGGGUCUGGUGAUUGGGUCUCGCAAUCAUGCCAGACCCCAACAUCUUGGACCUGGCUGCCAUGACUAAACUGAAAAAAAAAAAACAAAAUUUUGCAUAGUAACAAAUACAUAGUGAAAAUCCAACGUAUUUUAGUAUAUAAGUAAUAAAUUUAAUAAUUAACAUAUAAUGCAUGAUAAAAUUAGCAUUAAUUUUACCAGUGGCUACUGCAACAAUAAAGAAAAUAUUUUUAGCAUUCAAAUUGGUUAAAAAUCGAUUACAUGAUCAAAUUAGGGGUGAUUUGUUGAAUGAUUGUGUGGUUACUUAUAUCAAUAAAGAUAUAUUUAAAAGUGUUGAUAAUGAAAAGAUCCUACAAUGUUUUCACUAUAUGAAGUCUUGCAAUGAGCGAUUGUGAAUUUUAUAUAUAUAUAUAUAUGCAAUAUAUAUAUAUAUAUAUAUAUAUAUAUAUAUAUAUAGAAUUUUAUGAAAUAUCUUUUUAUAAUAUAUGUAAAUUUUUUAACUUUAUAUUAAAAAAUUAUAAUUUUUGGAUUUUUUAGAUCUUAAUUAAUUAAUGGAAAAGUUGAAGUUAAUUAUUAAAUUAUUCUCUCUUUUUUUCACAACUAUUUAACUAUUUAAUUUGUAAAUACAUCAGUCAUUUUAAAAAACCAACAUUUACACUUUUUAAAUUUGCUCUUAUAAUAAUAAUAAUUAUUUAUGUGAUAAUUUCAACCAUAUUUUUAAGCCUUAUACCAAAUACCUUCUAAGAGUAAUACCAAAUGAAGUUUUUUUUAACAAAACAUAUUUUUGAACCUAGUAGUUUUAUGUGUUUACAUUUUAACCGUAAACUUCAUUUCCCACUCGUUUCACUAUCUGAAUAUUGAGUUUUGGUCCUUGAAAUUCUCAUAAAAGUUCAUUUGGGUUCCUAAAAUUUUUUCUUUUAUCCUCGUAGUUUUAGCUAUUUAUUUAAUUCUAAAACUUUAUUUUCCUCACAUUUUAAUUCCUUGAUGUUACGAGUAUAAAGAGAAAGUCGUUAGAUAAAAAGAAAAGUAUUUUGGUGAGUUGUAUUUCAAGAACAAAAAAUACUGAUCUUAGUGUCCAUAAAUUUUUCUUUAAACACAUAACAAAAAAAAUUAAUAUUUUUUAAAAGUGGCCCUAAACAAAAUAAAAAAGAGGAGGUUUUAUCUAUUUUUUUGGUUUUUUAACCAGUCACAUUACUUUAUUUCUUUUCAAUUGCAUUCUUUAAAGCUAUAUUUUCAUGGCAACCAUAGCUAUCAAACCCAGCCUAGGAGUUAACCCGACUAAUGGGCUAAGUCCUGGUUUACACGAGUUGACUCGGGUCAACCAAGAAAAAUUUUAAAAAAAUAUUUGAGAUUUUAAUAUUUUAUAUGAAAAAAUAAGAAAUAAUCCAUAUGGAUAUAUGCUAUACAUGUUGUAAACAAUUAAAUUUAAAAGAUUAUUUCAAAAUGUUUUUUAUUCCACAUUGAAAAGAUACUAUCUUAUUCUUUUAAGUUAAAGUAUUUAAAUAAAAAAGGUUUUCUAUCCUACAUUGAAUAACCAUUAACUUUUUUAUUGUGAAUAUAGAAUAAAUAUAUAGACACAUACACACACUAAAAGACUUCAAAUUUUACAUUACAAAAAUAAAAUAUUUUUCUAAUAUUUAUAUACUGAACUUGAAAUGAGUUAGAAAAAAACUGAAAAUAUAUAAAAAAAAUCUCUAAAUAAAAGAAAAACACAUUUAAUAAAAACAGAAUCUCUAUCAAGUUUUUAUUGGGCCACCCGAGUUCCAGGUUUACCCAACAUGUUAACCAGUUUACUCCAGGCCACUUACACGUCCAAAUAUUGAAUGAAACAGACCACCAAGGCUUAUCAUUCUCUCUCACAUAAUCACUCUAUCACCCUUUCGCAAAAAUCCACCAAGGCUCCUGCUUUCCACUACUCCUUUUCUCUCACAUAUUCCGACCCUCACCCCUUCUGCAAAAAUCCACCAUGGCUCUGGAGUUGAUCGGAGGAUCAAUUCUCUCUGCUCUCGUUGAGGUACUGGUCGACAGGUUGGCCUCUCGUGAGGUUCUGGACUCCUUCAAAAGCCACAAACUCGAUGAUGGUCUUCUGGAAAAGCUGAAUGAAACACUGAAUACUGUCAACGGACUACUCGACGAUGCGGAGGAGAAGCAGAUUACAAAGCGUGCUGUGAAGAACUGGCUUAAUGAUGUUAAACACGCUGUGUAUGAAGCUGAGGACAUAUUGGAUGAGAUUAAUUAUGAAUAUCUACGAUCCAAGGACAUUGAUACCCCUCGACCUGACAGCAAUUGGGUAAGCAUAAGUUCUUGCACCUAUAGACCUUGCUUCCUCAUAAAAUGUUUUUUUUUUUUUUUUAACUUUCAUGUAUGCUCUCAAGUCUGUAAACGAGGAAAAAAUAAUUUUAGGGAUGGUUGUUGUCUUUCUGUGAGUUUUAAUUAAAGAGUAUUCAUUGUUAUGCAUGCAACUAAUAUCAUUGGCUUUUGGUGUCUAUGGCGUAAUUAUGCUUGCAAAUUCUCAUUUAUUAAUUAGUUUUCUAGACAUUUAAUCACUAUCUUUUUAAAACUUGAAUUUUACUGCGUGCAUUAAGUUAGCAUCAACAAUUGUAAAUUCUUGAAAAAGAUCUGUAGAAAGAAAACUUAUUAAUUCUCUAGAUGUAAAAAUCUUAAUGUUUAUGUUUUGAUAUUAAAAAAUUAUAAUGUUAUCCUGAAUUCUAUCUCAUAUAUUUAGUCCACCAUUGCAGGCAAGGAAUCUGGUUCCAUUUCUAAAUCCAGCUAAUAGAAGGAUGAAAGAGAUUGGAGCAGAGUUACAAAAGAUCUAUGAGAAGCUUGAACGUUUACUUAAACACAAGGGUGAUCUGCGCCACAUAGAAGGUACUGGUGGAUGGAGACCAUUGUCAGAGAAAACAACUCCACUGGUUAAUGAACCUGAUGUAUAUGGAAGGGACGCUGAUAAGGAAGCCAUAAUGGAGCACUUGCUGACACAACACAAGACAGAUGGCCCAAAUUUAGUUGUGGUUCCUAUUGUGGGCAUGGGCGGGAUUGGUAAAACCACUCUUGCUCAGCUUAUCUACAACGACGAAAAGGUAGAUCAGUUCUUCCAACUCAAGGCCUGGGUCUGGGCUUCUCAACAAUUUGACGUCACCAGGAUUAUUGAGGAUAUUAUUAAGAAGAUCAAAGCAAGGACUUGCCCCACCAAAGAACCAGAUGAAUCCAAAGAACCAAAUGAAUCUCUAAUGGAGGCAGUGAAAGGGAAAAAACUUCUACUUGUUCUAGAUGACGCGUGGAACAUCGAGUACAAUGAAUGGGAUAAAUUACUGCUACCUUUGCGGUAUGUGGAGCACGGAAGUAAGAUUGUCGUGACAACACGGGAAGAAGAUGUAGCAAAAGUCACGCAGACUGUCAUCCCCUCUCACCGCUUGAAUGUAAUAAGCGAUGAAGAUUGCUGGAAGUUGUUUGCAAGGGAUGCAUUUAGUGGUGUAAAUUCUGGAGCAGUCUCACACUUGGAAGAAUUUGGCAGAGUAAUAGUGAGAAAGUGCAAAGGUUUACCGCUGGCAGCGAAAACUCUUGGGGGUCUUUUGCACUCCGUAGGAGAUGUCAAGCAAUGGGAGAAGAUAUCCAAUAGCAGUAUGUGGGGUUCGUCGAAUGAAAACAUCCCUCCAGCUCUAACAUUGAGCUAUUAUUAUCUCCCUUCACACCUGAAACGUUGUUUUGCUUAUUGUGCAAUAUUUCCCAAGGAUUAUGUAUUCAAGAAGGAUAGAUUAAUCACUGAAUGGAUGGCACAUGGUUUUCUAGUCCAGCCCAGAGGCGUUGAGGAGAUGGAAGAUAUAGGUGAAAAAUACUUUAAUGAUCUUGUCUCCAGGUCACUUUUCCAGCAAUCCACUGGUGAUUCUUUUUUCAGCAUGCAUGACCUCAUAAGUGAUUUAGCUGAAUACGUGUCAGGAGAAUUUUGCUUCAAGCUUGGUAUUAAUGAAUCGGGCUCUGGGUUGGAGAGUGAACAUUCAUGCUCGCUUCCAGAAAGGACUCGUUAUUUAUCAAUCACUUCAGCGGCAGCAUAUGGCGGAGGACUUCGGAUUUUUCGUAGCAUUCAUGGAGUCCAACAUUUGCGCGCCUUGUUUCCACUGAAGUUUUUUGUGGAAGUUGAUAUUGAGGCACUGAAUGACAUUUUGCCAAAUCUUAAGCGCUUGCGAAUGCUAUCUUUAUGUCAUCCAAAAGAUAUUUCUUCUCAGUUGCUCAAUUCCAUUGGCAACUUAAAACAUUUGCGGCACUUGGACCUUUCUCAGACAGUAUUUAAACGGUUGCCCGAAAGUGUGUGCACCUUGUACUAUUUGCAAAGCUUAUUGUUAAAGGAGUGCCGACUUCUCAUGGAGUUGCCAUCCAACCUUUCCAACUUGGUCGACUUACAACAUCUUGAUAUUGAAGGGACAAAUUUGAAAGAGAUGCCACCAAAAAUGGGGAAACUCACGAAGCUUCGAAUUUUGGAAUCUUACAUCGUGGGAAAAGAUAGCGGGUCUAGCAUGAAAGAGUUGGGGAAGCUCUCACACAUAAGGAAAAAACUUUCUAUUCGGAAUCUCAGAGAUGUUGCAAAUGCUCAAGAUGCUUUGGAUGCCAAUUUGAAGGGUAAGAAGAAGAUUGAGGAGUUGGGGUUGACGUGGGAUGGCAGUACGGAUGACACACCACACGAGAGAGAUGUACUUGAGAAAUUGGAGCCUUCUGAAGAUGUGAAAGAGCUUGCCAUUAUUGGUUACGGGGGUACAACGUUUCCAGGCUGGCUUGGAAACUCUUCUUUCUCAAAUAUGGUAACGUUGCUUCUUUCUGGAUGUACGAACUGCAUCCUCUUACCACCAUUGGGGCAGCUGCCAUCUCUAGAAGAGCUCGAAAUUGAAGGAUUUGAUGAAGUCGUGGCAGUUGGUUCUGAGUUCUAUGGAAGUGACCCUCCAAUGGAGAAGCCAUUUAAAUCCCUCAUAACAUUAAAGUUUGAGGGGAUGAAGAAAUGGCAGGAAUGGAAUACAGAUGUAGCUGGUGCUUUCCCUCAUCUUGAAAAUCUCUUGAUAGCAGGUUGUCCAGAGUUAACAAAUGGCUUGCCUAAUCACCUUCCUUCUUUAUUGAUACUUGAGAUUCGAGCGUGUCCGCAGCUUGUGGUUUCAAUUCCAGAGGCUCCCCUGCUCAGAGAAAUCAAUGUAUCUGAGGGAGAUGAAAGUCGUAUAACUGGUCGUACGUCGUCCUAUUAUUGCUACUACUUACCAGAUCAACCACCCAAGUGCCUUCAUUUUAGACGAGAUCCCCAGCUAACGGGAAUGGAGCAAAUGAGUCAUUUGGAUCCCCGUCUUUUCACUGAUAUCAAAAUCGAGGAAUGUAGUUCAUUUAAGUGCUGCCAGCUAGACCUUUUACCCCAGGUCACCACACUUACCAUUGAACAUUGUCUCAAUCUGGAAUCCCUAUGUAUAGGCGAGAGACCUGUCCCUGCUCUCUGUCGUCUGACAAUCAGUCACUGUCCUAAUUUGGUGUCUUUCCCCAAAGGAGGACUAGCUGCCCCGGAUUUGACAAGCCUUGUGUUAGAGGGUUGCUUAUAUUUGAAGUCGUUGCCGGAAAACAUGCGUUCCCUCCUACCUUCCCUACAGGAUUUGCAAUUGAUCUCACUUCCAGAAGUUGAUUCGUUUCCUGAAGGAGGUUUACCCUCCAAUUUAAACACACUUUGCAUUGAAGAUUGUAUCAAACUCAAGGUAUGUGGUUUGCAAGCACUCUCUUCUCUUUCAUACUUCGAAUUUAGUGGGAACGAUGUGGAGUCUUUUGACGAGGAGACGUUGCCCUCUACUCUCACAACCCUUAAAAUCAAACGUCUGGGAAACCUGAAGUCUCUGGACUAUAAGGGGCUUCAUCACCUCACCUCUCUUCAGGGAUUGGGUAUCGAGGGUUGCCCUAAGCUUGAGUCCAUAUCAGAGCAGGCGCUUCCCUCCUCCCUUGAAUACCUUUAUCUCAGAAAUCUAGAAUCUCUGGACUACGUGGGGCUUCAUCACCUCACCUCUCUUGACACAUUGAAGAUCAAGAGUUGCCCUAAACUUGAGUUCGUAUCAGAACAGGUGCUGCCCUCCUCCCUUGAAUACCAGGGGCUUCAUCACCUCACCUCUCUUAGAAAUUUGAGUAUCGAGAGUUACCCUAAACUUGAGCACAUAUCAGAACAGGGGCUGCCCUCCUCCCUUGAAUGCCUUCAUCUCUGUAAACUGGAAUCUUUGGACUACAUUGGGCUUCAGCACCUCACCUCUCUUCACAAAAUGAAGAUCGGGAGUUGUCCUAAACUUGAAUCGUUGCAGGGGCUGCCUUCCUCCCUUGAAUUCCUUCAGUUAUGGGAUCAGCAAGACCGGGACUAUAAGGAACUUCGGCACCUCACCUCUCUUCGCAAAAUGAAUAUAAGAAGGAGCCUUAAGCUUGAGUACCUUCAAGAAGGCACACUUCCCUCCUCCCUUAAAGACCUUGAAAUCCAGGAUUUGGAAGAUCUGGAUUAUAAGGGGUUUCGGCACCUCAGCUCUCUUCGUAAAUUACAUAUCUGUAAUUCUCCUAAGCUCGAGUUCGUGCCAGGAGAGGAGCUGCCCUCCUCCCUUGUAUCUCUUAAAAUAUCAGGUCUGAUAAAUCUGAAAUCUGUAAUGAGGCUUCAGCACCUCACCUCUCUUCGCAAAUUGAUUAUCCGGGAUUGUCCUAAGCUUGAGUACUUGCCAACAGAAGAGCUGUCCUUACCCCUAGUUCCUGAUAUUAGUGGUUGUCCUUUUGUAGAACCGAGUUGUUGCAUUAGUUAGACCAUGUAUCUUACCCGCG
rnacentral:lncRNA from 1 species